rnacentral:rRNA from 1 species
UACGGAGGGUGCAAGCGUUAUCCGGAUUCACUGGGUUUAAAGGGUGCGUAGGUGGGUCUGUAAGUCAGUGGUGAAAUCUCCAAGCUUAACUUGGAACUGCCGUUGAUACUAUAGAUCUUGAAUGUUGUGGAGGUGAGCGGAAUAUGUCAUGUAGCGGUGAAAUGCUUAGAUAUGACAUAGAACACCAAUUGCGAAGGCAGCUCACUACACAAAUAUUGACACUGAGGCACGAAAGCGUGGGGAUCAAACAGG